rnacentral:lncRNA from 1 species
GCUCUGUCGCCCAGGCUGGAGUGCAGUGGUGCGAUAUCGGCUCACUGCAAGCUCCGCCUCCCGAGUUCACGCUCUUCUCCUGCCUCAGCCUCCCGAGUAGCUGGGACUACAGACGCCCGCCACAACGCCCGGCUACUUUUUUUUGUAUUUUUAGUAGAGAUGGGGUUUCACCGUGUUAGCCAGGAUGGUCUCGAUCUCCUGGCCUCGUGAUCCGCGCGUCUGGGCCUCCCAAAGUGCUGGGAUUACAGGCGUGAGCCACCGCGCCCGGCGCCCCGAAAGUUUUAAAAGCUUCCCCUACAAAAGAACAGAACUGAAAUUCCUUGGUCCUGUAUUCAAUGUCUUUUGUAAGUAAUCACUUCUCCCCUACUUACCCUCCUAGUCUACCGGGCUACCAGGAAUUUUUUUUUUUUUUGGAGACAGGGUCUCACUCUGUCACCCAGGCUGGAGUGCGGUGGCGGGAUCACGGCUCACUGCAGCCUUAACCCCCGGGGCUUGGGUGAUCCUCCCACCUUAGUCUCACCAGUAGCUGGGACUACAGGUCCACGCCACCAGGCCUGGCUAAUUUUUUUUAUUUUUAGGGGAGAGGGAGUUUUACCACGUUGCCCAAGCUGGUCUCAAACUCCUGGGCUCAAGCAAUCCUCCUGCCUCAGCCUCCCAAAGUGCUGGGAUUACAGGCAUAAACCACCGCAAAUUCUUUACACCUAUCAAAUUCCACCCAUUAUUUGGGACCCAGUUGAAAUCCCUCUUUGGCAAAAAGACUUUCUAGACAACUCCAGGCCUCAUAACCUCUCCUUUCUCUGAAGAUCUGUAGCAUUCAGCCUAGCACUGUCCAAUAGAACGUUCUAUGAUAACAGAAAAGUUCUACAUCUGUACUGUAUGUUCUUUUAUGUAGAACAGCUACCUUGUUAGCACAAGUGUAAAGUCUCACCAUCUCUUUGAUGACAACAUGUUACAUUGGAUGGUUAAAACAUUUAUCAGCUCCCCCAGUAGACUGCAAUUUCUGUGAACAAGAUACAACUUAUUCUUCAUAGCAACUCUGACAAAGUUGCAAAAGAUGGGUUCUCAUUAUGGUGCUUAGACUAGACUCUAGACCCAAUUCCUGGCCUCUCACCAUGUUGCCCAGACCAGACUCAACUCCUGGACUCAAGGAAUCCUCCCACCUCAGCCUUCAAUUAGCUGGGAUCAGAGGUGUGCACCACCAUGCCUGGCACUGUGGAUAUUUCUAAGUGAUUAUUCUUCUCAAAUGAACUACAUAAAAAACAAAAGAUUCAUGAAUUUACUAAUGGUUCUUUGUGAUGGAUGUGCUAAUAUAGAGACUAAAAUCAAGGCUCCAACCUCUAAAACAUUUUUUUUUAAAUUCCAGACUUGUUUCCCCAUCCCACUGUGCAAACUGAACAAAAACUGGGCUAGCACUCCUGUCUGGAACAUGUAAUAAGGAAAUAAAUGUGCUGACUCAGAGAACACAGACAUAUUUAAUAUAAAAUAAGAUAGAAAACUGGCUGAACCAAGUCAUAACACAGUCUAAAUCCACAUAUAAAAGAUUGAGAUGAUUUUCUGCUUUGCUUUAUUCAAGCCCAAUGCUUUAUCAGCACAGCCAGCCAAAAAUUUACAACCCAUACACAGACUAUGUAAACCUUUAGUUGCACAUACAGUAAGACCAGCAGGUACACACUAUACACAUUUUUAAUUAAAAAAAUGACUAACCACUGAUUUUGUCACCACACUUAACAACGACCUGAUAUGGCACAGAGUGAUGUGUACCAAACAUGGAAAUACCAACUUGGGCGACGGUUUGAAUCUUGUUAACUUCAGUGCAACCACACCCCCCAAAUGCAUGUAAAGUUUGCACACAUGGUUUUUUCAAGGCCAGCCUGUCUUUGUUUCCCUCUCCUCUGCAUUUACCCAAGAUCUUGGCUCUGAGACAGAAAACUCCCACUCUCAAUUGGUUCAUUCCGUCCUAUGCAAUUAAGCAACACCACAAUCCAGUAAAUGCAAUGGCUCAAUUAUUUAUCUUCUGGCCGACUUUACCAGGUAUUUGGAAAAGGACAAUGUCAAGAGGUUUAUUUCUCUCUCUAGAGCUGGCUUGACGGGUUGAUGGGGAUUUUAUUUUGUCUUUUUUUCUCUUUUUUACAAGGCGGGGACGUGGGGGGAGCAUAAUUUAACCUAGAAAAAGAUGCGAGGGAAUUUAGAAAGAGUACCGGUCUGUCAAUUUCCCUACAGGAAACUUGAUUCUUAUGCAAUAAAGCCUACCCACGACCAGCCAGCCCGUAAGGCUGCAGGCGACAGACACACCUAUUCCUGCCUCCAAAAGGGCACAGCUGUCUCCUGAAGGAGCGGGAACAGGGCAAGCGGAGGAAGUGGCUCAGCGGGAGCCGCCGACCGGGCGGGGAGGAGGCGCUUUCCGACCCCCCACUCGCGCCGGUGAUCCCCGUCGGCGUGACAGUCGCUCCGGUGGCCGGAACGUCCCCAGGGCCCCAGGGAGCAGGAAAUCGGGGGACUGUCCCUCACUCCUGCCGCCGCAACCGAGUGCGCCCUCGCCCCACGGUGCCCCCUCGAGCGCGUUCUGUUUCUCCGAAGAACGAAACUUCCCUCCAGCGCCCCGAGUCCCUUCCGAGGCCCGCUCCUGUCAUCCCGAAGAGUCUUCCCUCAGGGCGACCCUCCGCGUCUCUUCAUCUCUCCCGGCCCCACUGCAGCGUCCAUCACAACAUCCCCAAGGUCCCAGAGGCCCCCUGCCGCUGCGGAGCCCCCGGG